CCUACGAGUGGCAGCAGUAGGGAAUUUUCGUCAAUGGGCGCAAGCCUGAACGAGCAAUGCCGCGUGAACGAGGAAGGUCUUCGGAUCGUAAAGUUCUGUUGAAGGGGAAAAAGAGCGGAGAGAGGAAAUGGCCUCCGAUUUAUAUUACCCUUCGAGGAAGUCACGGCUAACUACGUGCCAGCAGCCGCGGUAAGACGUAGGUUGCGAGCGUUAUCCGGAAUGAUGGGGCGUAAAGGUUGCGUAGGCGGCCUGCUAAGUCGUGUGUGAAAGGUACCGGCUCAACCGGUACAGGCUCUGGAAACUGGCGGGCUAGAGAGCAGGAGAGGGUGGUGGAACUCCAUGUGUAGCGGUAAAAUGCGUAGAUAUAUGGAAGAACACCAGUGGCGAAGGCGGCCGCCUGGCCUGUUACUGACGCUGAGGCACGAAAGCGUGGGGAGCAAAUAGGAUUAGAUACCCGUGUAGUC
rnacentral:rRNA from 1 species